AGUGAACGCUGGCGGUAGGCCUAACACAUGCAAGUCGAACGGCAGCACAGUAAGAGCUUGCUCUUACGGGUGGCGAGUGGCGGACGGGUGAGGAAUACAUCGGAAUCUACUUUUUCGUGGGGGAUAACGUAGGGAAACUUACGCUAAUACCGCAUACGACCUACGGGUGAAAGCAGGGGAUCUUCGGACCUUGCGCGAUUGAAUGAGCCGAUGUCGGAUUAGCUAGUUGGCGGGGUAAAGGCCCACCAAGGCGACGAUCCGUAGCUGGUCUGAGAGGAUGAUCGGCCACACUGGAACUGAGACACGGUCCAGACUCCUACGGGAGGCAGCGGUGGGGAAUAUUGGACAAUGGGCGCAAGCCUGAUCCAGCCAUACCGCGUGGGUGAAGAAGGCCUUCGGGUUGUAAAGCCCUUUUGUUGGGAAAGAAAAGCAGCAGGUUAAUACCCCGCUGUUCGGACGGUACCCAAAGAAUAAGCACCGGCUAACUGCGU
rnacentral:rRNA from 1 species